rnacentral:lncRNA from 1 species
CUGACACUUAACACUGGGAACGUGUAUGUGCUGGAGGGGACACCGGCAUGAAGAAACCUAUCUAAACCAAUUACAAGUGAAAUAUUAAUAACUAACUUUGCAAAACUUGCAAAACACAUGACCAAGAGAACCCAUGGCUGGGCCCCUUCCAGAGCCCCUUCCUGUGCAUUACAGAAGCCUUGAGGGAGAAGCUUCAGUGAACAGCCCAGUGAACGGCCCAGUGAAUGGCCUCUGUACUCUGGUCUCAGUUCUUUCUCCAUGAAACAGCAGGAACAAUAGUAUUUUACAUAUGGGCUGUGUGAGAGCUGGGGAGAAUAGAUAUGUAAAGGGUUUCUAUGUACUUAUCAGGGUGCCUGGCAUAUAUUUAAGGUUCAACAAGUGGUAGCUAUCAUCAACGCAUUCUUCCCUUAUUGAAAACGUCUUAUUUUAGUCUGCAUUUUAGUUUAGAGAAAGGAGCCACAUGGAGCCAGGUGCUGGCUUGGAUUUGGCCCUUCCAGCCAUCCGAGCAUGGACUGACCCAGCCCUCUUUCCUAGGUUUGCAUCCCAGGUAGGGCCUGGUUCCCUGGGGCGCCAUUGGCCCAGAGCCCCUCAGGGUCACCUCAGGUCAGUUAUCCAAGAAAUCCUUAAGUUUCAUCUUUUAAAUCAUCCAUGUAAAAUUUAUUUUACCUCAGUGAUUUUUCUUCUGAGAAUCCUAUUUAAACACACUCUUUCCCCCUUCAAUUAAACCAGCAAGAAUUCAGUACCCUUCUACCCCUUCAACUCUUCCUCCACCCCGUGAGCAUUCCCAUGCAUCAUUCUCCGGCAUCAUUCUCACUGCAUCCUCAGGCUCUGGGAAGCUGCGUGAUCACCUGAGGUGAUCCAAACUCAGGUCUGUCUCGCUCACCAGUGUUUUCUCCAUUCCCUUAUGCGGAGGAGGACAAGUAAGGCCCCGUUAACGCUAACCUGUGGGCUUAAGCCCUAGCUGCCCAUCUGCUGACCAGGCGGACAUUCACUAAAGACCAUGAAUAUGACUUAUGGGUGCCAGCCCACCCACCUCCUAGUCCCACACUGCACCUGCAAACAUCACCAUGGAGCUCCACAGGGCAACCGUUCCUUCCUCGUCUAAGUGACUUGCCAGUGGACCAGCGACAUCCCAGGUCUCUCUCUCUCAACAAAUGGCAGCAGGUUGGUGGGGAUGUGAUGCUGCCAGGUGAAGGACAAGUUUUAUUAAGCCUGAGUAAAAGACUGGGGGUAGCUGGGGACAAGGAGGAGUUUGAGCACCCAGAGAGGGUGCUCACAGAAGGAAAGAGGGAGAGAGCAGAAGCAGGAAUUCCAGAGGAAAUAAUAUAAUUCAAGAACAAAGAUGGACAGGCACCCCUAGGUUCCUGAAUCUUCCAUCUUCUGCCACCCCUGCCCUGCUCACAUAUCCAGGUACCCUUACACACCUGAGCCAAUCCAGUGAGCUGUUUUCUGGGAGAUGCUAGGGAAACCCACACGCUACUGAGGACAGGUGCUACCAGCGAGUCCUGUGGUUUAAGGACAGUGUUCCUCAGGGCUGUGUAGAAGGGCUCUGCGCUAAAAGCAAUUCUGCUAAUUACUAAGUAUGUGUUGGGCAAGUUAAGUUACUUAACAUCUCUGAGUUCACGUUUCUGAGCUGCAAAAUGCAUUGAUGGGGCUUAAACGAGAUGACAAAAGUGCCUGCAGCAGCUACCCGAUAAAUCACAAUAUCAUCACAAUUCUGGGUUGACCCUGGUCUCUGCCCCAGGGAGUUCCGAAUUCUCACGUCCCAAACUGCAAACUCAGUGUCCUCCAAGAAUGUCGCCCUUCUCCUCCCACCUCUAGAUGUUUCAGUAACUUCUUUCCUGUUUAUUGAGAGAUUCAUCCCAGUGUCCUCUCAUUCCCUUCUGUCCCUCUGGGAAUUUCUUCCAUCAGUUUUGCUUCCUUUUUCAUACCUGUCACCUGAGCUUCCAAAUAUCGAUCUCUCUCCAUCCUAAAAAUAUUUCUGUGCCUCAUCCCUGCAUGCUCAAAGGUGAUCUUCCUUCUCCUCUUUACCAUCACAGUUCUCAAAAUAAUGAUUGGCAUUUCUUGAAUGUUUCUCUCGAAGGCCCUCUGUGAACUCCUAGUGCCAAUUCCAGCAAUGCCUUGGGGGUCAGCACUUCCUCCUGCCACCUCUGCACCUUCAGCUGUUCUCCAUCCUGGAACUUUCCUGACAGCCCCCUGGUCCUCAUCUCAAGUCAUCUGUAACAUUUAAUGUGACUGACACUUCCCGCUUUAAAAAUCUUUCUCAGUGUCUGGAUAUUUUAGAAUUGCACAAGGCAGUAUGAAGGGGUGGAAAGACAUGGCAUCCGGGAUUUACUUUAAAUUACUUCAGCAAAUAAAAAAGAGAAAAAGAAAGAAAAGGAGGAAUAGAAGAAGCAAAAAUGAUAUGGCAAAACCUUGACAAUUAUUUAAUUCAAGAUGUUCAGGGUGGGUAUAUGGGGAUUCACUCUUAGUCUCUGUAUUUCUACAUACAAAGCAAUUGACAUUUUCCAUGUAAUUUUUAAAACUAUUUUUAUUUAUUUAGUUAGUCUUUGGAACAACGUCUUGCUCUGUCAUCCAGGCUGGAGCACAGUGGUGCAAUCACAGCUCACUGAAGCCUGAACCUCCCCAGCUCAAGUAUCCUCCCACCUCAGCCUCCCAAGUAGCUGGGACCACAGGGACACGUCACCAUGCCUGGCUAAUUUUUGAAAUUCUUUUUUUUUUUUUUUUUUUUUUUUUGUAGAGACAGGGUUUUGCCAUGUUGCCCAGGCUGGUCUCGAACUCUUGAGUUCAAGUGAUCCACUCACCUUGGCCUCCCAAAGUGCCAGGAUUACAGGCAUGAGCCACCAUGACCGGCCCCAUAAUUAGAAAUUAUUUUUCUUUCCUGGACCUCCUUAUGACACAUCUCUCCUGGCUCUGCUCCUUUCUGAAACCUCCUAUUCCCAUCUUUUCCUUCUCUUUCUCUACCUGCUUUGUGAAAAAUAAGUGCUUCCCAAGGCCCUUGCUCGCCUCUGUGUGAAGUGCCAGUGGCCAGUGCCGAGGCCCAGGUGAAACUCCCCAGCCCACUGAUUCACCUGAGCCUGCUGUGAAGGUGAGCCAAUGCUAUAGCUUUAGUCCUGCCCUCUCUACAAACACCAGACCCACGUGUAUUUUUAAAAAUUUACACAUAUUUUAAAUAUGUAUAUAAAUACAGAGAAUAAGAAGACAAAAUCCCUGACCCACUACCCAGAUUUAACCAGUGCUGACAUUUUGGUACAUUUGCUUCAUAGUUUUAGAAAUAACAAGUUACAAAUAUAGCUGAAGGCCCCGACACACCUCUCCCAGACCCCAUUCUCUUCUCUUGCUCCCCAUAGGAAACCACCGAUCUGAACUUGGUAUAUAGCCCCAGACCAUGUUUGUACUUUGACCACAGAGACUGGUGUCUAGAACAAUACAUAAAAUUAUUUUUUUUAAUCUUCAUGACUCUUUAAGUAUCUGUAAUUUUUUUCACUCAACACUGUGUUUUCCCCAUAUUGAUACACACAGAUCCUGUUGGUUCAUUCUGAAUGCUGCAGAGUAAAUACUUUCUCUUAUGACACACAUCGCAAGUUGUCUGUCCACUUCCCUAAGCAGACGUCUCGGCUGUGUCCCGAGCAAACGGUGCCAUGGUGACCUGCCUUUGCAGGUCUCCUGCUGCGCACCUGCGUGAGCAUGUCGCUCUCCUCACCUGCCACCGUCCCUGUGACAUUUUCUUGUGCUUGUUUGCUUUUCUGACUCCCCCACUCAAAUGCAAGCAAAGAAAGUGAGUACUUUCAUCUCUAUGCUAUUAAUGCAUCAUGCCUAGCUCAUAGUGGAUUAAUAUGAAGGAGAAAAGGAAGGAAGGAAAGGAAGAAGGAAGGAAGGAAAGGAGGGAGGGAGGCUUUCUAUCACCAGGCUCAGGAGCUAAGGACUAGGCAAUACGUGGAAUUAUUUUGUGGAAGUCCAGGUAUGACGUUGCAGUGAGGAAUCCAAGAGGCAUUUUAAUAGCAAUGUAUAUGCCUGCAACCAAAGAACAUACUCUCAGCAAGCGUUUUACCUCUCAGCAGAAAGAUGUGAGCUGCUGCCUGUAUUUUGCGCUGCUGCCUGUAUUUUGCACUGCUCCUGAAACGGGUCUGAUAACAGCUAGUUAUAGAAUAUUUGGUGUCAUUUUCCAGAUGAAGGGAACUACAUGGUCUCAAGCCAGCUAAGACUUGACAGAGAAAAGAUAAGACUUUGACAGUAAUUCAGCCAACGUGUAUUUCCACUCCUGCUCUGUGCCAGGCAGCACAGGUGAGCCCUGAGGAGGGUCUGGGUAGGGCAUGGCCUCUUCACUCCCCUACAAUCCACUCACCACAUGAAGCAAAUCAUGUCACGCCCCUCCUUCAAGCCCUCCAAUGUCUCCCAGCAGCUUUGCAAUAAAGUGUCAACUUCUUGCUCUGCUGGUGUCUUUGAGAUCUGGGCCUGUUCUUCCUGCCUCCCUCCAUCCUACCCAUGUGCACCAGUGCUGACCCUCCCAGCCGGGUCCCCUCAGGGCUUUCUCACUCACAGGGCAGUAUCUUCCCAUGGCAAUCCCCCUCCCCACCUCUCAUCACUGCCUCCUCUACCCUGCUGUCCUGCUACAGUGUCUUCAUGGCACUUUCCACUGGCAGAAAUGACAGGAUUUGCCUAUUAUUGCUGUCUCUUUGUUCCACUAGAAUGUAAACUCAUGAAGGGCAGGAGCCUUGUCUGAAUCGUUUCUUGGCUGUAGAUCCCUCACCUACAAUUGCGACAGUCACCUAAUGAGUAUUUAUUGCAAGUGGACUUCCGGUGGCCUUCAGAUUCUCUGCCCCAUCGUGCCUGAGGCCCAGCUGUGAAACUGCAACAUUCCUGCACUCCAAUUAUGGAUUCCCCUUAGGCUCAAACUCAUUUCAUUUUGCUUGUGAUAACUGCAAUUCACAGCUCUGCGACGCCUGGUGGGAGAGGAGCUAGGCAGAGAGCUUGCUGUAUCAGGAGGCAGCCAUUGAGUGCUGACCCUGGUCAAUACGCAGACAUUGAUCUGAGAAUGGAGAAGCGGCUACACAUUUCUCAGGCUGUCAAGUACCUGCAGUGACCAUGAGCAGUAAGGUGUGUGGCAAGAGAUGGGGCAAGCCCUGGGUUUUCCUUCAAGACCUGGUGCAGAGCAGACGUUCGGAUAUCUAGCAGGUUUGCCUCUCAAUCCAUAAACCUGGGUCUCUAGUGAACUGCUAUUCCAGUCUCUAAUUCCACUGGGCUGGAAAUUACAGAUUGGUUGUUACUGGACUCCAGGAGGCUCCCAAAGUCUCACAGAAAUCCAGGAGACUUAAAUGAUCCAAGGGCAGGAAAGAAGGCUGCUCAUCCCAGCCUAGCAGCGGAUUUGCUCCUCAGUCUUCAGUGUCUAAGCUCAGAGCAGUUCCUGCAAGUCUACCUCCAGGCAAGGGAAUCUACCGAGGUGGGGCACCCCUGGGGGCUGUGCCUCUCUAAGGCACACCAGGCACCCUCUUCCUCGGAGCUCUUGCUGUCAGUAGCCCACCUAAGCACACAUCCAGGCAACACCUGUCCUUUGCUCACCCAGGCCACAGGGGAAGCUCUGGGCAACUCCUCUUCCAGGACAUUAACGCAGCAUAAGGGGAUAAUGGUCUGCUCUACCUUCAAGCCGUCAGAACUUAAGGGGCUCAAGCAUCUUUUUCUCACAGACAUGUGCCCCCUGCUCUCCCCUCUCUCCCACUCAGCUGGGGAGCGGAGGUCCAAAGCAUUUUCUCAGAAACUCAACCUGAUGUAAUCUUUCUCACAUUCUUUCUCAUCAGUAUCCCUCCCCACCCACUGUGUGCGUGUGUGUGUGUAUGUGUGUGUGUGUUGGGGAUAUGUGUUGGUUCAGCCUGAUCAUGCAAUCUCUCCACUCAUUUAUACGUGUGGGUUGUGCUUUUUAAAACAUAACUGUCAAGACUUAACGUCUUUGUUUUCUUGUUCCUCCCUCACACCUCUCUGCAGGCAGCCCUGGCCUCUUGAGCAGGGAGUGUCAGAGGGUGGAGAUGGCGUAUCAGUUCAUCCUUUACAGACCAUCCAACCGCAGGAGUUAUCGCUUGAAAAAAGGUUUCACAGUUCGUUGGGAAAUGCUGGGCACAUGCCCUUUUCUUAAUGACUCACGGGGCAGAUAAACACAGGAAGGGUCAUCUCCAGAAAAGAGCCCUGUUUAUACACUAGUGAUUCCCAAAUGCGC